UGGUGAUGGCGUGCCUUUUGAAGAAUGAGCCUGCGAGUCAGGGACAUGUCGCAAGGUUAACCCGUGUGGGGUAGCCGCAGCGAAAGCGAGUCUGAAUAGGGCGACCCACACGCGCAUACGCGCGUGUGAAUAGUGGCGUGUUCUGGACCCGAAGCGGAGUGAUCUACCCAUGGCCAGGGUGAAGCGCGGGUAAGACCGCGUGGAGGCCCGAACCCACUUAGGUUGAAGACUGAGGGGAUGAGCUGUGGGUAGGGGUGAAAGGCCAAUCAAACUCCGUGAUAGCUGGUUCUCCCCGAAAUGCAUUUAGGUGCAGCGUUGCGUGGUUCACCGCGGAGGUAGAGCUACUGGAUGGCCGAUGGGCCCUACUAGGUUACUGACGUCAGCCAAACUCCGAAUGCCGUGGUGUAAAGCGUGGCAGUGAGACGGCGGGGGAUAAGCUCCGUACGUCGAAAGGGAAACAGCCCAGAUCGCCGGCUAAGGCCCCCAAGCGUGUGCUAAGUGGGAAAGGAUGUGCAGUCGCAAAGACAACCAGGAGGUUGGCUUAGAAGCAGCCACCCUUGAAAGAGUGCGUAAUAGCUCACUGGUCAAGUGAUUGUGCGCCGAUAAUGUAGCGGGGCUCAAGCACACCGCCGAAGCCGCGGCACAUCCACCUUGUGGUGGGUGUGGGUAGGGGAGCGUCCCUCAUUCAGCGAAGCCACCGGGUGACCGGUGGUGGAGGGUGGGGGAGUGAGAAUGCAGGCAUGAGUAGCGACAAGGCAAGUGAGAACCUUGCCCGCCGAAAGACCAAGGGUUCCUGGGCCAGGCCAGUCCGCCCAGGGUGAGUCGGGACCUAAGGCGAGGCCGACAGGCGUAGUCGAUGGACAACGGGUUGAUAUUCCCGUACCCGUGUGUGGGCGCCCGUGACGAAUCAGCGGUACUAACCACCCAAAACCGGAUCGAUCACUCCCCUUCGGGGGUGUGGAGUUCUGGGGCUGCGUGGGAACUUCGCUGGUAGUAGUCAAGCGAAGGGGUGACGCAGGAAGGUAGCCGUACCAGUCAGUGGUAACACUGGGGCAAGCCGGUAGGGAGAGCGAUAGGCAAAUCCGUCGCUCACUAAUCCUGAGAGGUGACGCAUAGCCGGUUGAGGCGAAUUCGGUGAUCCUCUGCUGCCAAGAAAAGCCUCUAGCGAGCACACACACGGCCCGUACCCCAAACCGACACAGGUGGUCAGGUAGAGCAUACCAAGGCGUACGAGAUAACUAUGGUUAAGGAACUCGGCAAAAUGCCCCCGUAACUUCGGGAGAAGGGGGACCGGAAUAUCGUGAACACCCUUGCGGUGGGAGCGGGAUCCGGUCGCAGAAACCAGUGAGGAGCGACUGUUUACUAAAAACACAGGUCCGUGCGAAGUCGCAAGACGAUGUAUACGGACUGACGCCUGCCCGGUGCUGGAAGGUUAAGAGGACCCGUUAACCCGCAAGGGUGAAGCGGAGAAUUUAAGCCCCAGUAAACGGCGGUGGUAACUAUAACCAUCCUAAGGUAGCGAAAUUCCUUGUCGGGUAAGUUCCGACCUGCACGAAUGGCGUAACGACUUCUCAACUGUCUCAACCAUAGACUCGGCGAAAUUGCACUACGAGUAAAGAUGCUCGUUACGCGCGGCAGGACGAAAAGACCCCGGGACCUUCACUACAACUUGGUAUUGAUGUUCGGUACGGUUUGUGUAGGAUAGGUGGGAGACUGUGAAACCUCGACGCCAGUUGGGGCGGAGUCGUUGUUGAAAUACCACUCUGAUCGUAUUGGGCAUCUAACCUCGAACCCUGAAUCGGGUUUAGGGACAGUGCCUGGCGGGUAGUUUAACUGGGGCGGUUGCCUCCUAAAAUGUAACGGAGGCGCCCAAAGGUUCCCUCAACCUGGACGGCAAUCAGGUGGCGAGUGUAAAUGCACAAGGGAGCUUGACUGCGAGACUUACAAGUCAAGCAGGGACGAAAGUCGGGAUUAGUGAUCCGGCACCCCCGAGUGGAAGGGGUGUCGCUCAACGGAUAAAAGGUACCCCGGGGAUAACAGGCUGAUCUUCCCCAAGAGUCCAUAUCGACGGGAUGGUUUGGCACCUCGAUGUCGGCUCGUCGCAUCCUGGGGCUGGAGCAGGUCCCAAGGGUUGGGCUGUUCGCCCAUUAAAGCGGCACGCGAGCUGGGUUUAGAACGUCGUGAGACAGUUCGGUCUCUAUCCGCCGCGCGCGUCAGAAACUUGAGGAAACCUGUCCCUAGUACGAGAGGACCGGGACGGACGAACCUCUGGUGCACCAGUUGUCCCGCCAGGGGCACCGCUGGAUAGCCACGUUCGGUCAGGAUAACCGCUGAAAGCAUCUAAGCGGGAAACCUUCUCCAAGAUCAGGUUUCUCACCCACUUGG
rnacentral:rRNA from 1 species